GUGGGGAAUAUUGGACAAUGGGCGAAAGCCUGAUCCAGCAAUGCCGCGUGAGUGAUGAAGGCCUUAGGGUUGUAAAGCUCUUUUACCAGGGAUGAUAAUGACAGUACCUGGAGAAUAAGCUCCGGCUAACUCCGUGCCAGCAGCCGCGGUAAUACGGAGGGAGCUAGCGUUGUUCGGAAUUACUGGGCGUAAAGCGCACGUAGGCGGUUACUCAAGUCAGAGGGGAAAGCCCGGGGCUCAACCCCGGAACUGCCUUUGAAACUAGGUAACUAGAAUCUUGGAGAGGUCAGUGGAAUUCCGAGUGUAGAGGUGAAAUUCGUAGAUAGUCGGAAGAACACCAGUGGCGAAGGCGACUGACUGGACAAGUAUUGACGCUGAGGUGCGAAAGCGUGGGGAGCAAACAGGAUUAGAAACCCUUGUAGUCC
rnacentral:rRNA from 1 species